rnacentral:piRNA from 1 species
AUUCCACCAUGGUGCAAGCUCA